rnacentral:piRNA from 1 species
UCCAUGUCGAAUCCCGUGUGUUCUUCUGU